GAUGAACGCUGGCGGCGUGCCUAAUACAUGCAAGUCGAGCGAAGCGGGGACGGGUGAGUAACACGUGGCUAACCUCCUAUAAGACUGGGAUCACUUCGGGAAACCGGAGCUAAACCGGUUACUUAUAGAUGGAUCCUCGCUGCAUUGGCUAGUUGGUAAGGUAACGGCUUACCAAGGCAACGAUGCAUGGCCGACCUGAGAGGGUGAGAGGCCACACUGGAACUGAGAAACGGUCAAGACUCCUACGGGAGGCAGCAGUAGGGAAGCUGCCGAAAUGGGCGAAAGCCUGACGGAGCAACGCCGCGUGAGUGAGGAAGGUCUUAGGAUCGUAAAACUCUGUUAUUAGGGAAGCGGUACCUAAACAGAAAGCCACGGCUAACUACGUGCCAGCAGCCGCGGUAAUAC
rnacentral:rRNA from 1 species